rnacentral:rRNA from 1 species
AUUGAACGCUGGCGGCAGGCCUAACACAUGCAAGUCGAACGAGUGGCGGACGGGUGAGUAAUGCUUGGGAAUCUGGCUUAUGGAGGGGGAUCACGACGGGAAACUGUCGCUAAUACCGCGUACCAGUGGAUGAACCCAAGUGGGAUUGGGUUGGUGGUGUGGUAAUGGCCUACCAAGACGACGAUCCCUAGCUGGUCUGAGAGGAUGACCAGCGACACCGGGACUGAGACACGGCCCAGACUCCUACGGGAGGCAGCAGUGGGGAAUAUUGCUCAAUGGGUGCAAGCCUGACGCAGCCAUGCCGCGUGUAUGAAGAAGGCCUUCGGGUUGUAAAGUACUUUCAGUCGGGAGGCGUUAAUCACAGAAGAAGCACUGGCUAACUCCGUGCCAGCAGCCGCGGUAAUUC